UGCCCCGUGGCUGAGUUGGUUACAGCGUCCGACUGUUAUGUCCUCCCUUGAGGUCUGUCAUCGGAAGGUCGUGAGUUCGAGCCUCACCGGGGCAG